CAGAGUUGUAAGCUGGAGAGGUGUCGUGGAAGCGGGCCGGGCUCAAUUUCCUUGGAACAGGAGGUCAUGGAGGGUGAGAACCCCGUAUGUGGCUUGGGUGCCGUGGUCCUUGUGACGUAUCCUCUAAGAGUCGGGUCGUUUGGGAAUGCAGCUCAAAAUGGGUGGUAAAUUUCAUCUAAAGCUAAAUAUUGGUGAGAGACCGAUAGCAAACAAGUAGAGUGAUCGAAAGAUGAAAAGUACUUUGAAAAGAGAGUGAAACAGCACGUGAAAUUGUUGAAAGGGAAGCGUUUGGCAUCAGCCCAUGGCGGCGGUCGAACAUCUGGGCUUCUGCCCAGUGCACUCGGCAGUCGCCGGGCCAGCGUCUGUUCCACCUGCUGGAGAAAGGCCUUGGGGAAGUGGCACUCCCUUGUGGAGUGUGUUAUAACCCAUGGCGUCAUGCGGCUUGGUGGGA
rnacentral:rRNA from 1 species